ACUUCACCUUUCUUUUAAUCGGGUUAAUGCCCGGGUCUUGGUAUCUGACCCUGAUCCACUGCCCAAAAAUCAAUACCACUGUCUCUCUCUACCAACCAUCGCUCUCACAAACCUAUCUCCUCGCAGAUGUGAUUCAGCGGUCUCUAACCCUAACCCUCACCGUCGCCGGAAGAUACAAGCGAUUUGAUCCGUAAUACUAAUACAGCAAAAUUAAAAUCAAUGGAGGCACAACUAAAAGAAGCCAGUGAGAACAAGUCCAAAAACAGCUUAGCCACAACUGAAGGCAUCGAGUCUGCAGCUGUUACCAAGAAAUUGAUAUCAAGUAUUAGAUCAUUAAACCCUAAUUUUUAAAUUGGUAUGAUGAAGGAGAAGUUUGCUAAGCUUCUGCUCGGAGAAGACAUGUCUGGAGGAGGCAAAGGUGUCUGUACCGCGUUAGUGGAUUGGCUGUUAUCCGUUAGUGGCUCCAUCGUAGAUUUUGUACCUUCAUUACAACAAUAUCCUGAUGGUGCAACUUAUGAAGUAAUGGCAACGCGUCCACUGACAACUUUGGCAAGCAAAAGUUUGCUGGCUUUAACGGGAUAACAUUUAUGCUCGGCAGGUAGCAAAAGGCGGAAACGAUGGAUCUUAUAUGCCCAGUGAAAGCUCCGAGACUGAAGUUUCUGCAUCGAUGAUGGACUUUCUAAAAAACAACAUAUAUUACUGCUGCAUGCAGGUGGUGACUCUAAGCGGGUCCCAUGGGCAAAUCCUAUGGGGAAAGUCUUCUUGCCGCUUCCAUAUCUUGCAGCUGAUGAUCCCGAUGGACCCGUACCCUUGCUUUUUGAUCAUAUACUUGCAAUAUCUUCCUGUGCUAGACAAGCUUAUAAAAAUGAAGUUGCAACGAAGCCGAGAUUCAUGCUUAGGAUGUUUUUAAUCAAAGGAUUGAGACUUUGGCUCUUAACCUCGACAAGGUGAGAUAUGUGAUGACAAACGUGUUUGGAAUCCAAAACCCGCACCACCGUUGUUAGAGUGGCUUAGUCCGAAAGAAGUUUCUCAUAUCUGGAAAGGUGAGGGAUCGUUUGUCGAGGAACUUAUUCAAUGCAUUGCACCUCACUUGGAAGAUUGACACCUAAGUGAAGUACGGUCCAGCAUUCGGGCUCACGACCCAUCUUCUUCCGAUGACGUCCUAGGGGCUCUUCGAAAAUCCUUAAUAUGGUUGCGGGAUGAGGUGCGGAACCUUCCUUGCUCACCAAAAUGUCGACAUGAUGCUGCAGACUUGAUACACAUUUAUGCUCACACAAAGUUCUUUUUUAGAGUGCUGGUAAGUCUGAUUCUUUUUUGUAGUUUGACUUAUUUUUGUUGACUUCAUGUUCUCAUUUUGUUUGUAAAUCAUGUUGUACGAGUAUGAGGUUGUAGUAUCCCCACCUGUUUACAUCAGUCCGCUAGACAUGCUAGACAUGGGCCCCAAGUCUGCAGAGAAAAUGGACCCGGAUUGCAUGAACACCGCAAGACAUAUGACAAGAACUACUGUUUAGGGCAGCUCAUAUUUUGGCAUAACCAAGCUUACGCAGAGCCUGAUGAUAACCUCAUCAAAGCAAGCAGGGGUUGCUUAUCGUUACCGGAAAUCGAAUCAUUUUAUUCCAAAAUCCAGAAGCCAUCAUCUCAACGUGUCUAUGGCCCGAGAACCGUGAAAUCCAUGCUUUCUAGGAUGAGACCACAUGAGUUAUACGACACCUUUGUAGCGGCGGUAGAUAAAGAUAUGAACGAUGCCAAACCGAGGCAUGCCUGCUGUUCCUCAGCCUACUCCAGGUGCACUUCUAACGGGGGACGCGUUUAAUAUGUGACACCCGUUAACUGGAGGAGGAAUGAUAGUCGCGUUAUCAGAUAUUGUCUUAUUUCGUGACCUUCUCAGACCUCUACGCAAUCUUAACGAUGCAGCUACACUUUGCAGUUCUCUUGAGUGCUUCUACACUCUUAGAAAGGGGAAUGUUGUCAACACAUAUGACAACAAAAGACAAAGGUCAAAAAGCUGAAAUGAACAGUGACACACCAGGAAGCAGUGUUCAGCACUAACAGCAGGCAAAUGUCAACUAUAAGGGACAAUAAGCAUUAAUGUCUUAUGAAAACCCUUGCACCAAAAAGUUUAGUACUCUCCAAACACAUAAUCCAUACUCAUAUGCUCAAAAAAAGGCUUCUCAAAAACUGAAAACCCUUUGCACCAAAAAGUAUAGUACUUUUUAACACAGGAAUUCAAACUCAUAUGCUCAAAAACAGGCUGCCCAAAAAUAGAAUAGUUGUCUUAUAGCCUCCACUCUGGAUAAUUCCAAAAAAAUAUUGAGGUAACACCUCUAUAUAAUCCAUGAAACCAUUUGGACAAUCACACUUGACUCUAUUCUUCAAUCUCUCUUCUUUAACAAAUGUCUAAACCGGAGACCUCAUCUGUUUCUGCAAUGUCAAAAAAGGAUUGCUCAUCGGCUGCACCAUUGCCUUCAAUAGUUAUCACUUACCGACAAUCAAAUCAAGAACCUUACACUAUUUGAAAUUGAGAGAAUAUUACUUAGUAAUAACUCAACUUUGAAAAAGUUUCCAGCAAUGCCAUUUCCUGAUUCUGAUUUUGUUUCAAAUUGCAACAAUCGAUUGAUUACCGAAGAGCUAUCUUAUGAUAUCGAUAAUCUGAAGACCGAUGUUGUUACUCUCAUUAGUGCGUUAACAGAUGAGCAAAGACAUGUCUAUGAUAAUAUUAUGACAUCUGUUACACGAAAUAAAGGAGGUGUGUUUUUUGUAUAUGGUUACGGUGGUACUGGAAAAACUUAUUUGUGGAAGACAUUAUCAACAGUACUCAGAUCUAAAGGAGAAAUUGUUUUAAAUGUAGCUUCGAGUGGAAUUGCAUCUUUGUUACUAACCGGAGGCAGGACCGCACAUUCCCGUUUCUCUAUUCCUUUAAAUCUAACCGAAGACUCUAUGUGUUUUAUUAAGCCAAAUAGUGAUGCUGCAGAGCUACUAAAAAAAGCCUCCUUGAUUAUUUGGGACGAAGCUCCAAUGACUCACAAACAUGCCUUUGAAGCCCUAAAUAGAACAAUGAAUGACAUUUUGAUCUCUGGCAGUCAUAGCAGCUCA